rnacentral:rRNA from 1 species
UACAGAGGGUGCAAGCGUUAAUCGGAUUUACUGGGCGUACAGGGAGCGUAGGCGGUUGGAUAAGCCCUCCGUGAAAUCUCCAGGCUUAACCUGGAAAGUGCAGAGGGGACUGUUCAGCUAGAGGAUGGGAGAGGAGCGCGGAAUUCCCGGUGUAGCGGUGAAAUGCGUAGAGAUCGGGAGGAAGGCCGGUGGCGAAGGCGGCGCUCUGGAACAUUUCUGACGCUGAGGCUCGAAAGCGUGGGGAGCAAACAGG